rnacentral:rRNA from 1 species
AAUGAACGUUGGCGGCAUGGAUUAGGCAUGCAAGUCGGGGGAAUCCCAGCAAUGGGGGAACCGGCGUAAGGGGCAGUAAGGCAUGGGUACCUACCUUGGGGUUCGGGAUAGCCAUCAGAGAUGGUGGGUAAUACCGGAUGACGUCGUGAGACCAAAGAUUUAUCGCCCUUAGAGGGGCCCAUGUGAUAUUAGCUAGUUGGUGGGGUAACGGCCCACCAAGGCGAAGAUGUCUAGCGGGUGUGAGAGCACGACCCGCGCCACUCACACUGGGACACUGGCGAGACACCUACGUGUGGCUGCAGUCGAGGAUCUUCGGCAAUGAGCGCAAGCUUGACCGAGCGAUGCCGCGUGAGCGAUGAAGGCCUUCGGGUUGUAAAGCUCUUUAGUGGGGGAGAAAAGCCGCAAGGUGUGAUCUAUCCCAAAAAUAAGCACGGGCUAAGUUCGUGCCAGCCGCCGCAGUAA